AGCCUGAACGCUGGCGGCGUGGCUAAGACAUGCAAGUCGCACGGGUGUAGCAAUACACCAGUGGCGCACGGGUGAGUAAAGUAUCGCUAACGUACCCCUUAGUCUGGGAUAGCCGGGGGAAACUCCGGGUAAUACCAGAUGAUAUACCUUGAAGGCAUCUUUAAGGUCUCAAAGGGAAACC
rnacentral:rRNA from 1 species